rnacentral:lncRNA from 1 species
GAGAACCACGUCACAAACAGUCAUGUACUAUAGCUGGAAAUCUGGAUUCUCUCUACCGUACACGGCAAUCACUUUUGGAACGGCUCGGUAUCACCAAGCUUUCCAGGAUUGCUUUUUUUUUUCCUUUUCAUUACUAAGGCCUGCACAUAUUUGAACGUCUAGAUUGAAACAGAGGUAAGCCUCGAUCGGUGUCGCAAAUCUGGUCCGAUGCUUCUGCCGGCAACGGAGAACGGAGCCACUGCAGAAAAGAGUCCCAGCGUUUGUGUUACGGCAUUGUCCUGCUCCGUAAAAGCUGCCCAGAUUCUAUCGAAAUUGUAUACUAAUCUGGUCCGGUCUCUAGCUUAGUGUUCUGGGCUAUAGCUGUUCCAUUAGUGUCAUCUAGCUGCCUCA